UACGUAGGGUGCAAGCGUUGUCCGGAAUUAUUGGGCGUAAAGAGCUCGUAGGCGGUUUGUCGCGUCUGCUGUGAAAACUCGGGGCUCAACUCCGAGCUUGCAGUGGGUACGGGCAGACUAGAGUGCGGUAGGGGAGACUGGAAUUCCUGGUGUAGCGGUGGAAUGCGCAGAUAUCAGGAGGAACACCGGUGGCGAAGGCGGGUCUCUGGGCCGGAACUGACGCUGAGGAGCGAAAGCGUGGGGAGCGAACAGG
rnacentral:rRNA from 1 species